GUUUUUCGCUCUAAGAUGAGUCCGCGUGAGAUUAGCUAGUUGGUGAGGUAAUGGCUCACCAAGGCAACGAUCUCUAACUGGUCUGAGAGGAUGAUCAGUCACACUGGAACUGAGACACGGUCCAGACUCCUACGGGAGGCAGCAGUAGGGAAUAUUGCACAAUGGAGGAAACUCUGAUGCAGCGACGCCGCGUGAGUGAUGAAGGCCUUCGGGUCGUAAAGCUCUGUCGCAGGGGAAUAACACAAUG
rnacentral:rRNA from 1 species